UUCUUUUUCCAAAAAUCGAUUCCCCCACCCCCAGAAAUUCCACCUGAAAUCUCUUCUUCUUUUUUCCCCAUUUUAUUUUUCUCAACCAUUUCUCCCCUACCCCGAUUCCCUUUAUUUUUUCCACCCAAUUUCCCCAAAUCGGCAGCCCUAUGCAUCUCCUCAAAGGGUUGUAGCAGAAGGAGGUCUCGAAUUAGUAGGUCAGGUGGUACAGAUUCAUGGAGUCCUUACGGAUACCCCCACGCCACCACAAUCUGCAUAUCCUCAACAAAAUUAUUACUACACGCCGCAACAUCCUAGUUAUGCACCACCGCAGUCAUAUAAUUAUGUACCGCAAACGUCUGGGCGUGUACAUAGGACUAUGGAGAGGAAAUACUCAAGGAUAGAUGAUAACUACCAGACAUUGGACCAGCAGUGCCACUCAAAAUGGAUCUUGAUAGGCAAAUUCUCUCGCGUCAAAUGAAUGAUUUCACUAACCCGAAGAACAAUACUUUGGAAGCAAGCGACACUAUAGCUGAAAUGGCAAAGUAAAUGAAUCGAAGUAAAAGCCUAGCUGUGACCUCCAAAUCAAUUACAGCAAUGGCGAGGAAGCGAAGCAGCAAAACUAUGUUGAUAUCCUUCCUUUUGCUUUCCCUUUUAGCUUUCCUUUAUUUCCUUCCCGUCUUCGCUUCUCUCCCUUCUCUUCCCUCUUACUCUCACUCUCACGAUCUUCACUUUCAUCUUCCUCGUCAUCAGCGUCUGCAUCGCCGCCAAAAGAUUGGUGUUAGAAAAUUUGAAAUUGCGGAGGAUAAGUUUUGGAAAGAUGGGAAGCCUUUUCAGAUAAUUUUUGGUGACUUGCAUUAUUUCCGGGUUCUUCUUGAGUACUGGGAAGAUAGGCUUUUGAGGGCAAAAGCAUUGGGGUUGAAUACCAUUCAAACAUCUAUUCCUUGGAAUUUGCAUGAACCAGAGGCAGGCAAACUUGUUUUUGAAGGCAUUGCAGAUUUGGUAUCAUUUCUCAAACUUUGCCAGAAACUAGGUCUCCUUGCUAUGCUUCGAGCUGGGCCUUAUAUAUGUGCAGGCACAGAUGAAGAGACUUAUUCAAUAAUAUAACAAAUGAAUCCAAAUGAUGAAGAAAAGUCAUUUCUGGAAGAGAAGGCUUAUAUGGAAGCAGUCAUCUUCUUAUCAUAUCCAAAUUAAGAAACGGGUGGACCUUACCAUUUUCUUUUUCAUUAUUAAUGAUUGUAGGUUAUCAGAAAGUUCUUUUAUGAAGAUUUUUCUUUCCACCAUGGUGUGUAUAAAAUGUGCUAGUAUUAUGGUUUUUAUUCUUAAAGAUCUGUGCAUCUAUUUGAAAUAGGAAGAAAUGUCAACAACUCCGCUCAUACAGGAGUACUUUAUUUUUUUGGUUAUUUUACUUAGUGUUUGUAUCUAUUUUCCAUGUUAUAAUCAUGUUUAAGAUGUUAUAUAUUUAUAAAAAUUUUGAUCUGGACGCAUUAAUGAUCCAUGUUAUAUAGAUUUGACUCAUUUGUGUUUUGUGUUGUGUUUUGUGUUAGUGUCUCUUUUAUGUUAGGGGACAUGCAUAUAUCUAAAUGGUAAUUAAAAAUUUCCUUUACUAGUUUUAGAGAGGGCAUGGAUUUGGACCAGACAGAUUAGAAAUGCCUAAUUAUUCCUAUAGUGAACAAAGAGUACCAAGAUGUAUAUAGUGUGUGACAUCUUUAGUGGCAAUUAUUAGAUUUAGAAUUCACUGCUGAAUAACAUCUUUUAUGUAUAUUCUUUGAAAAUUAUGCUGGUUUCAAAGGCCAUUGCUACCAUCUUCGAUGCUAGGGUUGGAAGCGAUGACAGGAACUUUAGAUGAUUUUGGCUUCGAGGAUUAUCUGAAUGAUCCUCGAGAUUCGGAGACUGUUCGGCCGCUGGACUUGCACCACAGCAUGGAAGUUCAUCUCAGCCUCUCUAAGGGAUCAGUCUGUCCUAGUUUUAUGUGAGAUUUUCAUCGACUACUUCAGUGUUGUCCCAUGAAGGAAGUCACUGCUGAACCUUUUUAUUUUCCCUUAAUGAAUUUAGCCAUUCUGGCCUUUGAUAAUGCACAUCAGCUUUUUUUUAUUGCGUUGGGUUGAACUUCUUGAAAACCAACUGCUUUGACAACUAUUUAAUCUAAUACCAAGGACAAUACUUCAGUUAUCAAUUUAUAUAAUAUAUCUUUCGUUGAA